rnacentral:rRNA from 1 species
CCACGUUCGGACUGUGGUCUGCAACCCGACCACACGAAGCUGGAAUCGCUAGUAAUCGCGGAUCAGAAUGCCGCGGUGAAUACGUUCCCGGGUCUUGUACACACCGCCCGUCACACCAUGGGAGUCAGCAACGCCCGAAGUCAGUGACCCAACCAUUAUAGGAGGGAGCUGCCGAAGGCGGGGCAGGUGACUGGGGUGAAGUCGUAACAAGGUAAC